ACUUGUUGAUCAGCCUGACUAACCCAACACCUUAUUGAGACUUGUUGAUCCCAACACCUUAUUGAGACUUGUUGAUCAGCCUGACUAACCCAACACCUUAUUGAGACUUGUUGAUCCCAACACCUUAUUGAGACUUGUUGAUCAGCCUGACUAACCCAACACCUUAUUGAGACUUGUUGAUCAGCCUGACUAACCCAACACCUUAUUGAGACUUGUUGAUCAGCCUGACUAACCCAACACCUUAUUGAGACUUACUUGUUGAUCAGCCUGACUAACCCAACACCUUAUUGAGACUUACUUGUUGAUCAGCCUGACUAACCCAACACCUUAUUGACACUUGUUGAUCAGCCUGACUAACCCAA